UACGGAGGAGGCAAGCGUUAUCCGGAAUUAUUGGGCGUAAAGAGCUCGUAGGCGGUUUGUCGCGUCUGCUGUGAAAAUCCAGGGCUUAACCCUGGACCUGCAGUGGGUACGGGCAGACUAGAGUGCGGUAGGGGAGAUCGGAAUUCCCGGUGGAGCGGUGAAAUGCGUAGAGAUCGGGAGGAACACCAAAGGCGAAAGCACUCUGCUGGGCCAUAACUGACACUGAGAGACGAAAGCGAGGGGAGCAAAAGGG
rnacentral:rRNA from 1 species